rnacentral:lncRNA from 1 species
UUGGAGAAAGAGCACGAAGUAGUAGAGAAGAGAUAUGAUGUUAGAUGAUAUGUGACUUUGGGGUUUAGGGAUUUCAUUCUCGGUGUUUAGGGUUAAGCGUUGUAAAAUCAUCGUAAAUGGUUAUCUAUUCCACGUAAUUUCGUCGUAAAUCGAAAAACGUGGGCCUGGUAACUUCGUCGUAAAUGAAAAAACGCGGGCCUGGUAAGUUCGUCAUAAUGUUACGUCGCGUUUACGACGAAACAUUUUCUAUAUAUUGGGACGCCUGGACGAGGCUGCCUCGUCCAUUCCUCCCAAACUCCUCUCCUCUCCCUAAGG